rfam:Salmo salar isolate Sally breed double haploid chromosome ssa03, whole genome shotgun sequence.
UGCAUUCACUUCUCUAAGUCGCUCUGGAUAAGAGCGUCUGCUAAAAGACUAAAA